rnacentral:snRNA from 1 species
GGAUGUGAGGGCGAUCUGGCUGCGACAUCUGUCACCCCAUUGAUCGCCAGGGUUGAUUCGGCUGAUCUGGCUGGCUAGGCGGGUGUCCCCCUCCUCCCUCACCGAUCCAUGUGCGUCCCUCCCGAAGCUGCGCGCUCGGUCGAAGAGGACGACCUUCCCCUCCGAGGAGAGGACCGGUCUUCGGUCAAGGGUAUACGAGUAGCUGCGCUCCCCUGCUAGAACCUCCAAACAAGCUCUCAAGGUCCAAAAAGAUCACAUCUAUAAAAAUCAUAGUAAAAACUCUUGAAAGCCAAAGAGAAAUUUUCAAA